UACGUAGGGGGCUAGCGUUGUCCGGAAUCAUUGGGCGUAAAGAGCGUGUAGGCGGUCCGGUAAGUCCGCUGUGAAAGUCGGGGGCUCAACCCUCGAAUGCCGGUGGAUACUGUCGGGCUAGAGUGCGGAAGAGGCGAGUGGAAUUCCUGGUGUAGCGGCGAAAUGCGCAGAUAUCAGGAGGAACACCUAUUGCGAAGGCAGCUCGCUGGGACGUAACUGACGCUGAGACGCGAAAGCGUGGGGAGCAAACAGG
rnacentral:rRNA from 1 species